UAUUGGACAAUGGGGGGAACCCUGAUCCAGCCAUGCCGCGUGUGUGAAGAAGGCCUUAUGGUUGUAAAGCACUUUAAGCGAGGAGGAGGGUACUGGUAUUAAUACUACCAGCUACUGGACGUUACUCGCAGAAUAAGCACCGGCUAACUCUGUGCCAGCAGCCGCGGUAAUACAGAGGGUGCGAGCGUUAAUCGGAUUUACUGGGCGUAAAGCGUGCGUAGGCGGCUAAUUGAGUCGGAUGUGAAAUCCCCGAGCUUAACUUGGGAAUUGCAUUCGAUACUGGUUAGCUAGAGUGUGGGAGAGGAUGGUAGAAUUCCAGGUGUAGCGGUGAAAUGCGUAGAGAUCUGGAGGAAUACCGAUGGCGAAGGCAGCCAUCUGGCCUAACACUACGCUGAGUACGAA
rnacentral:rRNA from 1 species